rnacentral:pre_miRNA from 1 species
GGUGGGGGGGAGUGGUGUCCCUCAGCCCGGAUUGCAAGAGGGUGCAGGCCAGGCCGAGGGACCCCACCAGUGCACG